UAGACUUCGCAGUUAAUCUAUGAUUUGGCUGUAGAGUCUCUUCCAGAAUGCUUCCUUCCAAUUCAGGUCCAUUACCACCUACAGCCUGAGAAACAAGCUCAGGAAAAAAGGCCACUGUCAUGACCUCAAGAGACCUGUUAGAUGUGGUUGAGUUUAGAGGACAGAACUCAGUUUUCAGUUUUUAUCUCCAGCCACUUGUACAUUUCAGUGAAUCCAAAAGUCAGAUAGUACUGGUAACUUCCUAAAUAAUUCUGACUGAGAGUUUCCACUGAACUAGAGAUCAAAGAUGUGUUCUAGAAUUACUGUUGGUAAUCAUCAAGCAAGUCAACAAAAGAUUAUUAUUCAAGCAUUUUGAAACAUCAGUCAAGGACAGCACUGAACCAUCAAAGCAAGGCUGUUCUAUUCCACUUUGUACCUAAGAGAUUGACACCGUAUUUUUGAGUUAGUUGGGGUAACUUUAAAAGAAAUAUAGAGGUUAUAAUUCUGUAUUGUGAAUAUGUAGGUUACAGGUGUUUGUUUUCAUAUGGCAACCUUACUAAUAUUUCCCUGAAUGGAGAUCAAAAGCAAAAUUUAUUAAACUGGCCAGUUAUUCCAGGCAGAUAACCUUUAAAUUUGGGCUGUCAUGGAGUUGUUACAAUGGAAACACAGACUGAGGGUGUCUUAUAGGGAGGUUAAUUCAAGAAACACGAUUAGAUUAUUGGUAUGAAGACAUGGUUCUUACUAAAAAGAUGAUUUUUAGGAUUGAGUUCUGGAAAUUUGUAGCAGGUGAAGGGGCAGAUAAGACAAUUUGAUUAAAUAUGAAAAGAAUUCAUUGCAUGAAGUUGGAUAUCCAGUCCUGUAAUGUAUGGCUUCUUAACUAUUCUGUCUUUCUGUGUGCGUGCAGCAUGUAAAUUUGAAGUUAUAUAAACGUUGAAAGUUUUUUUCUAAUCUUUUUU
rnacentral:lncRNA from 1 species